GGCCAGGUGAUGGAAUUGGUAGACAUGCGGGUCUCAAAAACCCGUGGGCGCAAGCUCAUGAGAGUUCGACUCUCUCCCUGGCCACCA
rnacentral:tRNA from 1 species